UGUCUAUAAAUCUGCAAAUCGUCAGCGUA
rnacentral:piRNA from 1 species